GACGAACGCUGGCGGCGUACUUAACACAUGCAAGUCGAACGGUGAAGCUCCAGCUUGCUGGAGUGGAUCAGUGGCGAACGGGUGAGUAACACGUGAGCAACCUGCCCCUGACUCUGGAAUAAGCGCUGGAAACGGCGUCUAAUACUGGAUACGAGAAGGGUCCGCAUGGGCACUUUCUGGAAAGUUUUUCGGUUGGGGAUGGGCUCGCGGCCUAUCAGCUUGUUGGUGAGGUAAUGGCUCACCAAGGCGACGACGGGUAGCCGGCCUGAGAGGGCGACCGGCCACACUGGGACUGAGACACGGCCCAGACUCCUACGGGAGGCAGCAGUGGGGAAUAUUGCACAAUGGGCGAAAGCCUGAUGCAGCGACGCCGCGUGAGGGAUGACGGCCUUCGGGUUGUAAACCUCUUUCAGCAGGGAAGAAGCGAAAGUGACGGUACCUGCAGAAGAAGCACCGGCUAACUACGUG
rnacentral:rRNA from 1 species